UUCCAAUAUUUUCCCUGCGAUCCCUUUUUUAGCUUUAGUCGAAAGGACUUAGCCAAAUAAAAAUUAUUUUUUGCUGAUAAAUAUUAACUAUUUUGGCCGAAAAGUGCCAUGAAUUUAGAAUUCAUAAAUAUAGGACAGUCCUAUAGGUAGUAC
rnacentral:misc_RNA from 1 species